UAUUGUUUAGCUUUUUACUUAUAUGCUUUUAUUUGCCCAUGAGGCUUUUUUUAUUCUUCUUGAUUUACUAAAUUAGUGUUAUACAAAUGUAUUUAUUUACUAAAUUAGUGUUAUACAAUUUUAUUAAAGUUCUAUGCAUGUUGCUGUAAGUCCAUAGUCAGUAUUAAAUUUUGAAACCAGUAAAAAUUAUUUAGUUUUGGUUGGGAAAUGUGUGUAUGAUUUCUUUUAAAAGAUUCAUACAUAUUUAAUACUAAGUAUCAUAAGUGCUCUUAGAAAAUAAUUUUAGGUGAGGAUGAUAAUGUGAAAUUGAACAAGUAUACAUCCAUAUUUUACAGGUUUUAUAUGCGACUGAAAAUUUAGUAGGCAGACUAUCCAAAAACAACUUCAAUAUUCUGGAGGUACCAGCUGUAAUAACCAAAUUUUAUGCCUUCUGCAUUUUCUUUUAAUUCAUUGCAGGAAGACUGCCAUAUUACAGUUUGGAGACCAAGUUAUACUGCUGAUGAAAAGUCACAUGAGGCUAGUUGUCGACUUACAACCUAUGCAAGUUACGACUGAUCGACUAUCCACAACUAAAACGACUGGGAGGUGACUGGAGCAAGAAAGAAUGGUGUCCAGCAGAACAUACAACAAUUUUUCCCCAGCUCCUGCCUCUCCACACACGCAGCUCACUUUUCGUGCUGCUAAUGACUAUUAUCAUGCAUAGGCAACAAGGAUAUAACUCCAGUAAACUUAAGCCAUCAAACACAACCGUAGAUAAAAUUGAGAGAGAAUAAUGUUAAUCAAAACUUCAGGUCUUGAAAGAACACAUUUUACUGUUGUUUUCACGUCGAUAAAAGAUAAGUAAUGUACAUAACGGUAAAGCUCGUAUUAUGAAGAAAUCAAGUGAAAAUAUCGAAUGGAAUCACGUAAUAUUUUUACACAAUAAACAUGCCCACAACGCAAUUUAUUAACAAAAAAAUAAUUUAGUUCACGAGACUUAUUAAAUUCAUAUUUUGACCUAAAAACACGUCGCAUAAUGACAGAUUACCUUGUCUCAUAUAAGUAAAGUAUCUAGAUAUUUUAUGCUAACUAGAAGCAAGGUAAUUUGCUCCAAAUUGAGUUAAGUACGGCGAACUAAACUCGUAUUUGCCAUCAGCUGAUUUCCAAACCAAAACAUUUACUGCUUUGUUAGUAUUUUAUGAUGCAAUAAUAUGAGAAUGCAUACAAUAUUAUUGGAUACAGUAAUGUAUACAUUUUUAAAAGAUUCACGGAAAAGAUGCAUAUUCAUUGUGUUUUUAUUUCAUAAAUAUAUGUAGCCAUCACCGCCUAACAUCGCUCAAUUAGGUAUGCCGAUGUCGGUCCAAAUCUGAUUCCCGUUUCGUGCCCAAUUUUUUUUUUUUUUUUUUUUUUUUU